AAAUGGCGGAUAAGUGCAAUUGAUUUGGGUCUUGUGAAAACCAGAUUUCUUCUUCCACACACUCCAAAGCCAAACUUCGAACAAACAAUGUGCUGACUAAACGCUGGAGAAACUUUAUUAGUUACAAAAAUUACGUGUUCGGGAUAAUGGCACGUACGUUAAGGUUCGAAGAUCAUAGGAUUCAUCUUUUCAUUCUGAAAAACGAUGAUAAUGAAGAAGUAGAAAGAUGGAUUAAUGAACUUAUUCAAACUCUAAAAACAAAAAAUAUCGUAUGUAUAAAGGAGGGAGACUAUGAAAAAGUCGGAGAAAAUGUGUACGCUUCUUUAGAACGUGCAAUGCUGUAGGUUGAAAAUGUUAUGGUUGUUCUGUCAGAUGGAUUUGUAAGUAGCAAAUAUCUUAUGUUCAGAUUUCAACUUGCUCUUCAAAAUUGCAUGGAAAGACAAAUACCUUUCUUGCCUGUGAUCAGCAUAAAUUUUCUGGAACCACCUCUUGAAUUAACAACAACGGUAUGCCUGAAAGUAGACUUUUCCGAAAAAUUAAGACAGACUGAUGUUAAAAAAAUUGAACAGGCACUGAAUUUAGCAGACAAAAGACCCGCCACUUUUUCUGACUUAGAGAACGUUAUGUUGAUUUUUGAUGAAAAAAUUAGAGCAGGAUCACCUGCAGAGCUAUUCCAGUUAUCUUCAUUACCAGAAUUUAAAGAAUUGCUAUCAUUUCUCAAUGACAUCAACAAUAGAUAUAAUGGUCAAGACAAAGAAGAAAACGACGGACAUAGAAAAAGAAUAAUAGUCAAAAGAUCAAAAUCGGACGCAUCAGCCAUAAAGUCAGUAAAAGGACGCAAACCAAGAAUACAUAAAGUGUCGAAAAGCAACUCGUUCAAUUACCAAAAGAAACAAUUUACUUUAUAUCCAUGUGAUAGCCUGGUGUUAACAAAAGUUAACUCUGGCUAAGGGUUUAAUCAUGAUGUUUAUUCAUGAAAAUAACAAAGGAACUAUUAAAGUUCAAACCCUGUCAUACGGAUAACAUACGGAACCAUGAAUAAAUAAUUAUAAAUUUAUAAUAUAAAUUAUUAAAUUAAUCAAACUAUCAUUUACUUAAGUACCAUGGAAUGUCAUAUCAUAUCAUUACAUAUUUUAUGUAAUAAAUUCAAUGCAA
rnacentral:sRNA from 1 species